rnacentral:rRNA from 1 species
ACUUGGAUGGACUGAGUGGCGACGGGUGAGUAACGCGUGGGUAACCUGCCUCAUAACAGGGGGAUAGCAGCUGGAAACGGCUGGUAAUACCGCAUAAGCGCACGGUAUCGCAUGAUACAGUGUGAAAAACUCCGGUGGUAUGAGAUGGACCCGCGUCUGAUUAGCUGGUUGGUGAGGUAACGGCCCACCAAGGCGACGAUCAGUAGCCGACCUGAGAGGGUGACCGGCCACAUUGGGACUGAGACACGGCCCAGACUCCUACGGGAGGCAGCAGUGGGGAAUAUUGCACAAUGGAGGAAACUCUGAUGCAGCGACGCCGCGUGAGUGAAGAAGUAGUUCGCUAUGUAAAGCUCUAUCAGCAGGGAAGAUAGUGACGGUACCUGACUAAGAAGCUCCGGCUAAAUACGUG